rnacentral:rRNA from 1 species
ACGAACGCUGGCGGCGUGCUUAACACAUGCAAGUCGAACGGAAAGGCCCUGCUUUUGUGGGGUGCUCGAGUGGCGAACGGGUGAGUAACACGUGAGUAACCUGCCCUUGACUUUGGGAUAACUUCAGGAAACUGGGGCUAAUACCGGAUAGGAGCUCCUGCUGCAUGGUGGGGGUUGGAAAGUUUCGGCGGUUGGGGAUGGACUCGCGGCUUAUCAGCUUGUUGGUGGGGUAGUGGCUUACCAAGGCUUUGACGGGUAGCCGGCCUGAGAGGGUGACCGGCCACAUUGGGACUGAGAUACGGCCCAGACUCCUACGGGAGGCAGCAGUGGGGAAUAUCGCACAAUGGGCGGAAGCCUGAUGCAGCAACGCCGCGUGCGGGAUGACGGCCUUCGGGUUGUAAACCGCUUUCGCCUGUGACGAAGCGUGAGUGACGGUAAUGGGUAAAGAAGCACCGGCUAACUACGUG